UGGGGAAUAUUGCACAAUGGGCGAAAGCCUGAUGCAGCAAUGCCGCGUGUGUGAAGAAGGCCUGCGGGUUGUAAAGCACUUUUCGGUAGGGAAGAUAAUGACGGUACCUACAGAAGAAGCACCGGCUAACUCCGUGCCAGCAGCCGCGGUAAUACGGAGGGUGCGAGCGUUAAUCGGAAUUACUGGGCGUAAAGGGCUCGUAGGCGGCCAACUAAGUCAGACGUGAAAUCCCUCGGCUUAACCGGGGAACUGCGUCUGAUACUGGAUGGCUUGAAUCCGGGAGAGGGAUGUGGAAUUCCAGGUGUAGCGGUGAAAUGCGUAGAUAUCUGGAGGAACACCGGUGGCGAAGGCGGCAUCCUGGACCGGUAUUGACGCUGAGUGAGCGAAAGCCAGGGGAGCAAACGGGAUUAGAUACCCCCGUAGUCCCUGAGCGGGCUGGCAAGGCGCAU
rnacentral:rRNA from 1 species